rnacentral:rRNA from 1 species
CAGAGGGUGCAAGCGUUAAUCGGAAUUACUGGGCGUAAAGCGCGCGUAGGCGGCUAAUUAAGUCGGGUGUGAAAGCCCCGGGCUCAACCUGGGAAUUGCAUCCGAUACUGAUUGGCUAGAGUAUGAGAGAGGGAGGUAGAAUUCCACGUGUAGCGGUGAAAUGCGUAGAUAUGUGGAGGAAUACCGGUGGCGAAGGCGGCCUCCUGGCUUAAUACUGACGCUGAGGUGCGAAAGCGUGGGGAUCAAACAGGAUUAGAUACCCUGGUAGUCCACGCCGUAAACGAUGUCAACUAGCCGUUGGGCACCUUAGUGUGCUUGGUGGCGCAGCUAACGCGAUAAGUUGACCGCCUGGGGAGUACGGUCGCAAGAUUA